rnacentral:rRNA from 1 species
AGUGAACGCUGGCGGUAGGCCUAACACAUGCAAGUCGAACGGCAGCACAGUAAGAGCUUGCUCUUACGGGUGGCGAGUGGCGGACGGGUGAGGAAUACAUCGGAAUCUACUUUUUCGUGGGGGAUAACGUAGGGAAACUUACGCUAAUACCGCAUACGACCUACGGGUGAAAGCAGGGGAUCUUCGGACCUUGCGCGAUUGAAUGAGCCGAUGUCGGAUUAGCUAGUUGGCGGGGUAAAGGCCCACCAAGGCGACGAUCCGUAGCUGGUCUGAGAGGAUGAGCGGCCAUAAGGGAGCGGAGACACGGUCCGGACCUCUACGGGAGGCAGGAGUGGGGAAUAUGGGACAAGGGGCGAAAGCCGGAUCCAGCCAUACCGCGUGGGGGAAGAAGGCCUUCGGGUUGUAAAGCCCUUUUGUGGGGAAAAAAAAGCAGCAGGUUAAUACCCCGCUGUUCUGACGGUACCCAAAGAAUAAGCACGGGCAAACUUCG